UAUAUAAUGAAACAUGGGCAUAGUUGUUUAAACAUUGAUUUAAACAAAGAACAGACAAGAUAAAAUAGAAUUUAUUGGACUUUGUUGAUAUUUCUACAUAAAUACUGAAUGGCUUCCAGGUCACUUAUUGUACUGAUGAUGAUUUUUAUCGCGUGCUUGACGGUUGUGGAUAGCAAACGACGUGGACGGGCCAAAUGCAAGUUAGACAAGAUAUCACAGUGCAAUGACGUUAUAAAGAAAGGAGGAAAAAACAAGGGAAUGGGUCUUUGUGAGAUUAAAGGUGGAACAUGCGAGAUACGUCGCAGAAAACCCGGAAAACCACUAAAGUGCAGGUGUGCAAAACAAAGGAAAGGACACCAAAUACAAUAACCAAGUUCAUAUAAUGUGUUUGUUAUGGAAUGUUAUUGUAAAAAAGCACGUCCCACAUAUGACAUUAGAAUACUGAAGUGUAUGAAUUGCUCCGAGUGAUUUUCAUUUUAUUGAUGAAUUAUAUAUGUUAUUUACCUUUAUUUUUAUUUUAAUAAUUUUUACACAUGUUGAAAUAAAAAAUUCUAUAAAAUGAA